UACGUAGGGGGCAAGCGUUGUCCGGAAUCAUUGGGCGUAAAGAGCGCGUAGGCGGUCCGGUAAGUCAGCUGUGAAAGUCAAGGGCUCAACCCUUGAAAGCCGGUUGAUACUGUCGGGCUAGAGUCCGGAAGAGGCGAGUGGAAUUCCCGGUGUAGCGGUGAAAUGCGCAGAUAUCGGGAGGAACACCAAUGGCGAAGGCAGCUCGCUGGGACGGUACUGACGCUGAGGAGCGAAAGUGUGGGGAGCGAACAGG
rnacentral:rRNA from 1 species